rnacentral:rRNA from 1 species
UGGGGAAUAUUGCACAAUGGGCGAAAGCCUGAUGCAGCGACGCCGCGUGAGGGAUGACGGCCUUCGGGUUGUAAACCUCUUUCAGUAGGGACGAAGCGCAAGCGACGGUACCUGCAGAAGAAGCACCGGCUAACUACGUGCCAGCAGCCGCGGUAAUACGUAGGGUGCGAGCGUUGUCCGGAAUUACUGGGCGUAAAGAGCUCGUAGGCGGUUUGUCACGUCGUCUGUGAAAUCCUAGGGCUUAACCCUGGACGUGCAGGCGAUACGGGCUGACUUGAGUACUACAGGGGAGACUGGAAUUUCUGGUGUAGCGGUGGAAUGCACAGAUAUCAGGAAGAACACCGAUGGCGAAGGCAGGUCUCUGGGUAGUAACUGACGCUGAGGAGCGAAAGCAUGGGUAGCGAACAGG